GACGAACGCUGGCGGCGUGCCUAAUACAUGCAAGUCGAGCGGACUGAAUGGGAGCUUGCUCUUGUUCGGUCAGCGGCGGACGGGUGAGUAACACGUGGGCAACCUGCCCGCAAGACCGGGAUAACUCCGGGAAACCGGAGCUAAUACCGGAUAACACCGAAGACCGCAUGGUCUUUGGUUGAAAGGCGGCGCAAGCUGCCACUUGCGGAUGGGCCCGCGGCGCAUUAGCUAGUUGGUGAGGUAACGGCUCACCAAGGCGACGAUGCGUAGCCGGCCUGAGGGGGUGACCGGCCACACUGGGACUGAGACACGGCCCAGACUCCUACGGGAGGCAGCAGUAGGGAAUCUUCCGCAAUGGGCGAAAGCCUGACGGAGCGACGCCGCGGGAGCGAAGAAGGCCUUCGGGUCGUAAAGCUCUGUUGUGAGGGACGAAGGAGCGCCGUUUGAAGAAGGCGGCGCGGUGACGGUACCUCACGAGGAAGCCCCGGCUAACUACGUG
rnacentral:rRNA from 1 species